GAUGAACGCUGGCGGCGUGCCUAAUACAUGCAAGUCGAGCGAACAGACGAGGAGCUUGCUCCUCUGACGUUAGCGGCGGACGGGUGAGUAACACGUGGAUAACCUACCUAUAAGACUGGGAUAACUUCGGGAAACCGGAGCUAAUACCGGAUAAUAUAUUGAACCGCAUGGUUCAAUAGUGAAGGACGGUUUUGCUGUCGCUUAUAGAUGGAUCCGCGCCGCAUUAGCUAGUUGGUAAGGUAACGGCUUACCAAGACAACGAUGCGUAGCCGACCUGAGAGGGUGAUCGGCCACACUGGAACUGAGACACGGUCCAGACUCCUACGGGAGGCAGCAGUAGGGAAUCUUCCGCAAUGGGCGAAAGCCUGACGGAGCAACGCCGCGUGAGUGAUGAAGGUCUUCGGAUCGUAAAACUAUGUUAUUAGGGAAGAACAAAUGUGUAAGUAACUAUGCACGUCUUGACGGUACCUAAUCAGAAAGCCACGGCUAACUACGUG
rnacentral:rRNA from 1 species